GGGCGACAGAGCGAGACUCCGUCUCAAGGAAAAAAAAAAGAAUAAUAAUAGUCUCUGAUCCCAUCCAGGUUGCUGUGAAUCUUGUUAUUUUUUUCCCUUUUUAUGGCUGAAUAGUAUUCCAUGAUGUAUAUCACAAUUUCUUAAAUCUGCUCAUUGAUGGGCAUUUGGGCUGGUUACAUACUUUUGCUAUUUUGAAUUGUGCUGUUACAAACUUGCGUGUGCUGGCAUCUUUUUUUAUAUAAUGACUUCUUUUCUCCUCUGGGUAGAUACCCAGUAAAUGGUAGUUCUACUUUUAGUUCUUUAAGAAAUCUCUACACUGUUUACUAUAGUGGUUGUACUAGUUUACAUUCCCACUAGCAGUAUAACAGUGUUCCCUUUUCACCAAAUGCCCACCAGUAUUUUUUAUUUUUUGAUGUUUUAAUUGUGGCCAUUCUUGCUGGAGUAGGCUGGCAUGGCAUUGUGGGUUUUUUUUUUUUUUUUGAGAUGGAGUCUGCUCUGUCGCCAGGCUGGAGUGCCGUGGUGUAACCUUGGCUCACUGCAACUUCUGCCUCCCGGGUUCAAGGGAUUCUCCUGCCUCAGCCUCCUGAAUAGCUGGGACUACAGGUGCCCACCACCACUCCUGGCUAAUUUUUGUAUUUUUAGGACAGACGGGGUUUCACCAUGUUGGCCAGGGUGGUCUCCAUCUCUUGACCUUGUGAUCCACCCGCUUCAGCCUCCCAAACUGCUGGGAUUUCAGGUGUGAGCCACCACUCCUGGCCUGACAUGGUGGUUUUGAUUUGUAUUUCCCUGAUUAUUAGUGAUGAUAAGCAUUUUUUCGUGUUUGUUGGCCAUUUUUUAUAUCUCCUUUUGAGAAUUGUCUAUUCAAGUCCUUAGCCCAUUAUUUGAAGGGAUUGUUUUUUUUUCCUGUUAAUUUGAGUACCUUGUAGAUUCUGGAUAUUAGUCCUUUCUCAGAUGUAUAGAUUGUGAAGAUUUUCUCCCAUUCCAUGGGUUGUCUGUUUAUUCUGCUAAUUGUUCUUUUGCUGUGCAGAAACUUUUUGGCUUAAGUCUCACCUGUCUAUCUUCAUUUUGUUGUUGCAUUUGCUUUUGGGUUCUUGGUCAUGAAGUCUCUGCCUAAGCCAAUGUGUAGAACGGGUUUUCCAGUGUUACCUUCUAGAAUUCUUAUGGUUUCAGGUCUCAGAUUUAAGUUGACUUUUGUUUAAGGUAGGAGAUGGGGAUCCAGUUUCAUUUCUUGGGAUGUGGCUUGCCAAUUAUCCAAGCACCAUAUAUUGAGUAGGGUGUCCUUUCCCCACUUUAUGUUUUUGUUUGCUUUGUCAAAGACCAGUUGGCUGUAAGUAUUUGGAUUUACUUCUGUGUUCUCUAUUCUAUUCCAUUGGUCUGUGUGCUUAUUUUUAUACCAGUAUCAUGCUGUUUUGCUGACUAUGGCCUUGUAGUAUAGAUUGAAGUCAGGUAAUGUAAUGCGUCCAGAUUUGUUCUUUCUGCUUAGUCUUGCUUUGGCUGUGCGGGCUCUUUUUUGAUUCCAUAUGAAUUUUAGAAUUAUCAGGAGUCACCGGGCGCCGCGGCAGCUUCGGGAUAACUUGAGGGCGCAUCCUGGGGAAGAAACACCUCCUGUCCAUGGCACUGGCUGCUGAGGACAGCGCUUUGGUGUGGCUUCUCCAUGGCCCAGCUUCUUUGGAGCGUUUUUCUUUCAUGGUUCAUCCAUAUGGCUCCAAAUGAAAAUUACAUUACUUUGUUAUGGAUGAAGAGUAUUGCGUUGUGCAGAUAUACUGCAGUUUCCUCAUCCCCUCAUCUGUGGGUGGACAGGUUCCACAGUGUUGCCACGGAUGACCUGAUUUCAGUACCCGUGUCUGGCUGAAGAGUAUCUGGUUGUGACUGGAUACUGCAGUUUCUGGAUCUCAUCCUCUGUGGGUGGACAGGAUAGUAGAGAGCGGUUUACAGCCUGAGACCCAUCACUAGGUUUCUCCAUCUUGCUGGUAGUGAACUGAUGUCCGGAAGUUUGAUGGCUGAAGAGUGUACCGUUGUGUGUAUAUCCUUCAAUUCCUGCAUUUUUUCAUCUGUAGAAAGACAAGUAGGUUGAUUCCCCACCUUGGUUAUUGUCCAGAGUACUUCAUGAAACAUGGGAAGGGAGAUACCUCCUUAGGAAAUCUUCAGACUGGUUUCCACAGUUUGAGAUCUAGUUUGCAUUACCACCAAGAGAAUAGCCAUGUUUGCUUUUCUCUGCUGCUACACCAGCAUGUUAUGUUCUCACUUAGGACAAAUGGCCACUCUGACCAGCGUGUGAUGGCACCGGUACCUCAUCUCUGAUGAUUAGUGAUGUUGAGUGUUCCCCAUGCCUGUUGGAAUGGCAAUCGCUUGGAAAUGUCUUCUCAGUUACUACCCAUAGGUCAAUGUGAAGGGAAGUUCAUCGCCUCUGCUUCUUCAGUAACUGAUGUCUGAUGCAUCAACUGAAUGCAUUUCAGGCUUAUAAGCAGUUCCGCCGGAUCCAUGGCUUCUAAGCAGUGAAUUUUCAGUGCGUUCUUGUUGUUCUCCAAGUACAAGCAGCCACUUCAGUUUUACCACAUUCAUCUUCCACACACUGAUGAACCGUAUGGAGACAGCAGGAAUUGAAGUAGAACCAGAGGGAGUAGUUAGGACAGACAUUCUAAUUGAUUCAUUCUGAUUCUCACUAUUGUCAGUGAGUAAAGGUUCAUUGAAUUUUUCUUCUGAUGAAUAAAAUGGACAAUUUUCUCAGUGCAUUGGCUUACUUUUGGAAGAGCAGCCCUAAAGACUUUACUACUGAUUAGUAAAGUCUAACCUGCUUUCUGUGUAUUUUUUUAAUUCAACUUUUGUUUUAGAUUGAAUAAAAAUGUGCAGGUUUAUUGUGUGAUACUGAGUUUUGGGGUAUGAUUGAAGCCAUCACUGAGGUAGUGAGCUUUCACCUUCUUCUCUUCACUCUGUUACAGAGAACAGAUACUCCCAGUCUUCAGUGCACUCUAAAUACUGGCUAAUUCUGGCCAAUGGAAGGCAUCUGUGGAAGAAAAAGCCUCAGGUCAUGUGCUAUCUGUCUUUAUUCACUGUGACAUAUUAGGUAACGGUCACAGAGACUCACCAUGGCCCCAGUUUUUAAUAACAUGACCCUGCUUUUGUGUUCCAGUAACUUCUGUUGUUUUCCCAAUCCUAAGUAUGAUAGAAACUUCCUGCUGCUGCUAAUCUCUGGGUUCCAUUUAAAAUCCUUCCAUCACAUGAAUACUAUG